rnacentral:rRNA from 1 species
UACGUAGGGGGGCGAGCGUUGUCCGGAUUCAUUGGGCGUAAAGCGCGCGUAGGCGGCUCCGCAAGUCGGCCGUGAAAUCUCCGGGCUCAACUCGGAGGGGUCGGGCGAGACUGCGGGGCUCGAGGUGGGCAGAGGGCAGUGGAAUUCCGGGUGUAGUGGUGAAAUGCGUAGAGAUCGGGAGGAACACCAGAGGCGAAGGCGGCUAGCUGGAUAGGCACUGACACUCAACUACGAAAGCGUGGGGAGCAAACAGG